UACGUAGGGUGCAAGCGUUGUCCGGAAUUAUUGGGCGUAAAGAGCUUGUAGGCGGUUUGUCGCGCCUGCUGUGAAAUUUCGGGGCUCAACCCCGAACUUGCAGUGGGUACGGGCAGACUAGAGUGUGGUAGGGGAGACUGGAAGUUCCUGGUGUAGCGGUGAAAUGCGCAGAUAUCAGGAGGAACACCGAUGGCGAAGGCAGGUCUCUGGGCCACUACUGACGCUGAGAAGCGAAAGCAUGGGGAGCGAACAGG
rnacentral:rRNA from 1 species